CAGUAGCCGCGGUAAUACCGAGGGUGCGAGCGUUAAUCGGAAUUACUGGGCGUAAAGCGCGCGUAGGUGGUUUGUUAAGUUGGAUGUGAAAGCCCCGGGCUCAACCUGGGAACUGCAUCCAAAACUGGCAAGCUAGAGUACGGUAGAGGGUGGUGGAAUUUCCUGUGUAGCGGUGAAAUGCGUAGAUAUAGGAAGGAACACCAGUGGCGAAGGCGACCACCUGGACUGAUACUGACACUGAGGUGCGAAAGCGUGGGGAGCAAACAGGAUUAGAUACCCCGGUAGUCCCUGUCUCUUAUAC
rnacentral:rRNA from 1 species